CCUCCAGAGAAAAGAAAGGGCUACAGGAAUGCAAGCCACAUGCUGUCUGACAGAGGUAUUAGAGAAAAGAGAAGAACAAUUCCAAGGGAUGAAAUGGUUCAAAGAUCUAAACGGAUCUAUGAGCAGCUGCCAGAGGUGCAGAAAAAGCGAGAGGAAGAGAAGAGGAAAAUGGAAUACAACUCCUAUCGACUGAAGGCCCAGCUUUACAAAACAAAGAUCACCAACCGUGUCUUGGGGAGGAAGGUGCCUUGGAACUGAUAAAGAUCUGUUCAGAUGAAGUUGUCUGGUUCUUGGUAACCUUGCAGCAGGCAGGAGAUUGUGAUGUGACAGAGAUAAAGCAGUAAAUACGUGUGCAGUGGAUGCUUUGUGGUAUUCAGUUGUGUGGUUUUUGUACUAGUAUCAUCUCUCUGUAUUUAAGAAUCAAUGUUUUGAUACGAAUGGCAGGUUUUAAAAUAAAGGACUGGUUUUGUAGUGGUGUUAUGCACUUCACAAGUGAACACAAUUUGGAACUACUCAGUUCACAAUGUAUUUAUAACUCCCUGAUUGUAAAGCAGUUUUAUAUGUAUUUAUUUCAAAUUGGUUUUGACAAUUUUUUUAGGGUUUUUAUUUCCUCUCUCAAUGUAGAAAACACACUUGUAAUGUUUUGUACUGCAAAAGCCCCUUAAAUAAAUAACAUCAAAUCUGUUUCUAGUAAUCAUUGCAGCAAUCAUGAAUGUAUCUUUGCUGUCGUAUGGGCAACAUCUGGG
rnacentral:lncRNA from 1 species